rnacentral:rRNA from 1 species
AUUGAACGCUGGCGGCAUGCUUUACAGAUGCAAGUCGAACGGCAGCGCGGGCUUCGGCCUGGCGGCGAGUGGCGAACGGGUGAGUAAUACAUCGGAACGUGCCCAGUAGUGGGGGAUAGCUCGGCGAAAGCCGGAUUAAUACCGCAUACGACCUGAGGGUGAAAGCGGGGGGUCUUCGGACCUCGCGCUAUUGGAGCGGCCGAUGGCAGAUUAGCUAGUUGGUGGGGUAAAGGCCUACCAAGGCGACGAUCUGUAGCUGGUCUGAGAGGACGACCGGCCACACUGGGACUGAGACACGGCCCAGACUCCUACGGGAGGCAGCAGUGGGGAAUUUUGGACAAUGGGCGAAAGCCUGAUCCAGCAAUGCCGCGUGUGUGAUGAAGGCCUUCGGGUUGUAAAGCACUUUUGGCGGGAACGAAAAGGACUGUGCCAAUACCACGGUUCGAUGACGGUACCCGCAGAAUAAGCACCGGCUAACUACGUG